GCAGGUUAAUCAUACAACAAAAAAUUUAAAAACUUAAGAAUAAUAAUUUUAGUUAUUUUUUUGUAAUUGUAGGAAUACUAAGCUUAUUGUUUAACCUCUUUUAAAUUGCAAAAACCACACUCUGUCUAAGAUAUAGAGCCACGAGCCACUUAGCCACUAAGUAGCUAAAAGUUUAAAUUACUAUUACAGUCUUAAGGUCUACAUUCAAAAAUAAAAAAGCUCGGUUAAUAUUUCAAAUUUUACAAUAAAAGCCAUGAACAUUAUUUGUAAAUAUUUUAUAGAAAAUUAAAUUUACAGGUUACUUUUUUUCAAAUAUUAAUUCACUAUAAUUGUCAUCAUAAAUUCUGAUCCAGGUAUAUAUAGGUAGGUAUCAGAAUAUUCUUGAGCAGUCAAUUUGUUUUAACAUUAAAAGUAAUUUCGGUGCAUAGGUAGGUACUUAUAUUUCUGUUGUAUGAUAGGUAGUAUACAAAAUAAUUACCUGUUAUACUAGAUAUAUUACAAAUGUUUCUUGUUUUCUAUAGGUAUUAUUACUUAUUAGUAUACUAUUUAUUACUUAUUACUUGUUGAUGGUCAAGCCUCAAGAUUAAUGACAGGUACUAGAAUGCUAGAUUAUAAUGUAGCUAUUGCCUAAUGUCCUAAUUAAUGUAUUUUAAUUAGUAAAUCGUCAUAUGAUAAAGUAACAGUAACUUUAGAAUAAUUGUCAGCCAUAAUCACAGAAUAAUAUUACAAUUAUCUGAAGUCGGAAUCUCCGAGAAACAAGCAAUAUUUUCAAGAAGAAAAAUUAGAUACGUGUGUUGGUAGGUAGGUACGUAUCAUAUACUCGUACUGAAGAACAAAUUCACUUUAGUUACCAUGCUUUUUUUUAAACAUUUUUUAAUAUAGUUAGGUUUUCGGAUUGAGUAUAUUUUUAACCGAUUUUGUAAAUAUUUGUUUAUAUCUGUUCCGGACAAUUUGGAAAACUAGGCAAUGUAAACCACGAUUUUUUUAUGAACGGACGUGAAUUCGUAAAUAACAUAAUAUCUGAACUUUGUACUACGUGGAAGAAUUUAAAAAUAGUGCAUGGUAAGCAAAGAAACUUUCAAAACCAAGGUCCAGUUGAAAGAGCAAACCAAGAUGUCGAAAAUAUGCUUGCAACAUUGCUUCAAGAUAACAAACGAUUUUUCGUUUAAACACAUACAGAUUACGGACCACAAACUAGGCAACAGGGAUUCCUAACCGCUUUGUGCCCUAUAGUUUUUGUCUUAUUAUGUGUAUUGUACAACUAUUGUGUAGCUUGUGUAAGCAUCAAGUGGUGAGAGUUUAAAUUUAAGAAUUCUACGUAAAUAUGUUAACGAAUAUUUAUGUCUUAGAUUUACGCGGAAUGACUAGGUAUUGACUGUCCUUCACCUAUUUGUAUCGUCGAAAAAUAAUACGUAUUUAUUUCACUGUGUGAGCCGUGAAAAUGUAUUAAAAGAUCGAAUGUGCCUUCAAGUAAAAUAGGUUGGGAACCACUGAGCCAGAGCUUUGUGCGCAUGAGUAAAAAUAAAAAAUUGCAAGUGGGAGUUGUCGUGCAUGAGGUUCUCAGUACGCGGCGAUCAUACUUUUGUUUUAUUUAAUUUUUCAGUAGGUAUCGUUGAAGCAUCGUAUCGCGUAGUUGUUUCAUCGACCGACGCACAAACUCGUUACGCGUUAAAGUGGUUGAUUUUUAAGUUACGGUUUGUUUAUUUCUUGUGUAACAUUGUAUAAAAUAAAUAAAUCUAUGCAUUGUAAUUCGCGAAUUGUCCAGCAAUAAAGUAACAGUAACUUUAGAAAUCAUAAAUCGUAAAAGACAUUAAUCGUGAUCACAGAAUAAUGAAGAAAUUAUCUGAAGUCGAACACUUUCGAAAAACAUGCAACAUUUUCAAGACAUUUUCGACUUCCAAUCUUUCAACAAAAACUUGGUGAAAAUGAAUUUGAUACCAAUGUACCAAAAGUACACACAGUAAUAAAUGAUCAGAUAUUACUACAUUAAGGUUAUCCAAGUAAUGUGAAUACAAGGAUUAAACACCUUAUAACAUUGAAGAUUCUCUAAAUUAUUUUAUUAAUCAUUAACAAAAAUGUGCAAUAUUUAUUCAAUUUUCAACCGAGCACAACCAUUGAAUGAUAACAUACUUCAUCCUAUGAAGGAUUAUUUCUAAAAAAAUUCAAAUUCAAUAUUCAAACAGACAUGGCUAACCUAUUAAAAGCUAAACAAUUAAUGUUGUUUAGCAUUUAGUGCUGAAGAUUAUCAGUUUACAAUAGGUUGUUGAACUUCGCACAGUAGUAAUUUUUAUACUAGAAUGAGCGAACAUGAAAAAUCAAGAAGUAAAAGAAAAACAAUUUUGAAGCAUUUUUACUUAAUUAUAACAUGUCUGACAUUAAUUUAAGAUUUACUACUGGAAAGGGAUAUGAAGUUGAAAGAAACUAAGAGGUUUUGGAAUGACUAAUUGAUAUUAUAAAAUUAAUGUUAUGCCAAGCAUUUUGAAACCAUACACAUAAAAAGUGAUUCUUCAUUAGACCGCAGAAAAUCUAAAUAUGAUCCAGUUCUUAAGAACAUACAGACAAUAUGUAAAAAGUUACAAAAGUAAAAAAUCUAAAAAGUGUUAAACUGUUGGAUGCCCUAUUUACUUUUCUAUCAAAAAUUGCAGUAGACUAUAUUAUAGGAAUUAUUAGAUCUUUAAUGAAAACUACUAUUUUUGAAAGCAAUAGAAAAAAAAAAAUUUUUUAAGAUUCAAAUUGAUUCUAACCAGGAUUAUAAAUGCGCACAAAUUGCUCGCAAUUAUUAUUAGUUCUGUGACUGAUGAAAUGAUUGAAGAAUUAUUAGCAAUUGUUAAUUAAUAGUGUGAAAGGUAAAAAUCUGUUGAAUUGUUUGUAAAGCUAACUUAAUUUAUACAUUAAAAACUGUAUGGCAGAGAAAACUGUCGAGGCAAGUAAUGUGCAGGCUUAACUUUGUUAUGAUUGAUACAAUUCGAGUUUGCUAGCAAAAGUAAUACAUUAUUUGGUGUGCUAAAUUCAAUAUCACAAUGGAUUAGUAAAAAGCUUAAUAAAUUUGAAUCCAAUAUAAAUCUAUGAAGUCAGAGUUAAAAGAUUUUAUAGAAAACUGGCUCGACACUAAAAACAUUAGUACUGUUACAAUUACUAUAAAUGAAUUUGAUAUCCAGGAUAAUAACGAGGAUGAUACAAAUGGUGAGAAUAGCACAUCAUCUUCAACCAGUUUUUGUUUGAAAUUGUAUGAAGAUGUAGUAUUUACAAAUAGCAUUAUUUGUUGUUUCAAAGUUCUGCAAAAAUAUAAAAUACAUUCAAAAGCAAUAUGUAUAUGACCUAUAAAUAAUUAUAGGUACAACACUUUUCUGUAAUCAAGUGAGAUUUGAGACAACACUUUACAAAUUAAAAUAUAUUUAAAUAAAUUAAGAAAUUCUUUGAGUCAAUCUGAAUUGGAAACAUUUUAAAUAAUGUCAGAGGUGGAAAAUAAUAUUUCAGUUAAUUCAAACAGUGAUGAAAUAAUAAACCA